CCAGACUGUAAGAGAGGAGCAGACACAGACACUUGAGAGGAUUUGAGCUUUUAAGAUGGAGUCUGCCCUGUGUACACUGCUCUCAGCUCUGGUUGUGCUCCUGUGUUCUUCCCCAGAGUGUAAAGGAGAAGACACAGUGACCCAGACACAAGGAGACGCCUCUGUCCCUCAGGGACACACAGCCACAAUACAGUGCACUUUUAAAACCAGCGAUCCAACUCCAACUCUGUUCUGGUACAAGCAAGAAGGACGAGGAGCUCCUGAAUACAUGAUGAAGAAACCUAAAUUAUCAUCAACAUGGUCUAAGACAGUUAAAUCAGCAGAGUUCAAUAAAGAGCGAUUUGAAGUUGAGGCUGAGAAGGACUCUUUCUCUCUGAAGAUCCAGGAUGUGGAUGUGACAGACUCUGCUGUGUACUACUGUGCUCUGAGGCCCACAGUGACAGGAAACACCAAAACUCUGAACAAAAACCUCUGGAGCAAAGACAACACAAUCCUGCAGUAGCUCCACUAGAGGGAGACACUCUCU